rnacentral:antisense_RNA from 1 species
UUUUCUGACCACUUGUGCGGGAUUAGCGGGCUUAG